rnacentral:lncRNA from 1 species
CUUCUGUUUGAGUUACUUCUGAGUUUCCUGAUUGUUAUAUGACUGAUUUUCUGCAGGUGUUCAGAAGAUGCCCAUUGAGAGCACCACUGAAGUUCCUGAAGAGAGUGAGAGUGAGGCAGAAACUGAAAACCCACGGAGAGGGCAGAAAGUGUCCUGGUCAAAUGCUGAAGUUACAGCUGUAAUGAAACAUUUUAAGGGCCAUAUAGCUAAAGGAAAACUGGCCACAAUGACUGAAUGCCAGAAGUGUAAGACUGCUGAGGAUCCUGUUUUGGUGAGACGCAGUGCACAGAACAUACGGGAUUUUGUAAGAAAUCGAGGAAUUAGCUUAAAAAGGAAAACCCAAAGCAAGUGAUGUUACAGUACAUCCUGUGUCUCUUUUGAUGCCAUUCUAUUAUAAUUAGCACUUUGGUUGUUGGUUUUGUUAUUUCCCAUAGUGCAAAACUGUUAUGACUGCAGUUCAUACUAAUAUCUCACUGUAGAAAAUAAGUUCAACUGUUAGUUUGACAAAAUUCUGUCAAUCUCUCGUUGUUGAUUUUUGGAUGGCCUGUCCCUUAAAGGAGUAUUUCACUUCCAGAAUGAAAAUUCUGUCAUCAUUUACUCACCCUUCACUUGUUCCAAACCUGUAAGAGAUUCUUUCUUCUGUUGAACACAAAGAAAGAUAUGUCAGCAUCUGAACAGUUGAUGGGCACCGUUGACUUCCAUAGUAUUUUUUUUUCUACUAUAGAAAUUGAUGAUGAUGCACAUCAACUGUUCAGAUUUUUAAAAAAUAUCUUCUUUUGUGUUCAACAGAAGAAAGAAACUCUUACAGUUUUGAAACAAGUGGGGGGCGAGUAAAUGAUGACAGGAUUUUUAUUCUGGAAGUGAUCUAUUCCUUUAAAGAUAAAUCAAUCUCUCUACACAUCUGCAGCAUUUAUUGCAUGCUCAGAGAGUUUAUCUCAUCUUUACUGUCCGUUAGUGAGGUACUUACAACGUGAGGCAUGCCUUUUGAUUUUUUUUUUUUUUUUAAGUUGGGGAAUUUCACUUAAUUAUUUUUUCUUUGUUUGUUUUGUUUUGUGUGGCAUUCCGUUAUUAAAGUACUUCUAAACACAUUGGUCCCUGUAAUGU